rnacentral:rRNA from 1 species
GGUGGUGAUGGCGUGCCUUUUGGAGAAUGAUCCUGCGAGUUACGUUUCAUGGCGAGGUUAAGAAGAACGGAGCCGAAGGGAAACCGAGUCUGAAUAGGGCGCAAGAGUCGUGGAGCGUAGACGCGAAACCCGGUGAUCUAAGCCUGUCCAGGAUGAAGCUGUGGUAAGACACAGUGGAGGUCCUAACCCACCGCCGUUGAAAAGUUGGGGGAUGAGGUAGGUUUAGGGGUGAAAAGCCAAUCGAACCGGGAGAUAGCUCGUUCUCUCCGAAAUGCAUCUAGGUGCAGCCUUGCGUGUUUAAUGAUGGGGGUAGAGCACUGACUGAACUAGGGGGCAUAUAGCUUACUGAAUUCAAUCAAACUCCGAAUACCAUUAUUCAAGAGCGCAGGAGUGAGACCAUGGGAGUUAACUUCCAUCGUCGAAAGGGAAACAACCCA